AGUGGGGGAUAACAUUUGGAAACAGAUGCUAAUACCGCAUAGAUCCAAGAACCGCAUGGUUCUUGGCUGAAAGAUGGCGUAAGCUAUCGCUUUUGGAUGGACCCGCGGCGUAUUAGCUAGUUGGUGAGGUAACGGCUCACCAAGGCGAUGAUACGUAGCCGAACUGAGAGGUUGAUCGGCCACAUUGGGACUGAGACACGGCCCAAACUCCUACGGGAGGCAGCAGUAGGGAAUCUUCCACAAUGGACGCAAGUCUGAUGGAGCAACGCCGCGUGAGUGAAGAAGGCUUUCGGGUCGUAAAACUCUGUUGUUGGAGAAGAAUGGUCGGCAGAGUAACUGUUGUCGGCGUGACGGUAUCCAACCAGAAAGCCACGGCUAACUACGUGCCAGCAGCCGCGGUAAUACGUAGGUGGCAAGCGUUAUCCGGAUUUAUUGGGCGUAAAGCGAGCGCAGGCGGUUUUUUAAGUCUGAUGUGAAAGCCCUCGGCUUAACCGAGGAAGCGCAUCGGAAACUGGGAAACUUGAGUGCAGAAGAGGACAGUGGAACUCCAUGUGUAGCGGUGAAAUGCGUAGAUAUAUGGAAGAACACCAGUGGCGAAGGCGGCUGUCUGGUCUGUAACUGACGCUGAGGCUCGAAAGCAUGGGUAGCGAACAGGAUUAGAUACCCUGGUAGUCCAUGCCGUAAACGAUGAAUGCUAGGUGUUGGAGGGUUUCCGCCCUUCAGUGCCGCAGCUAACGCAUUAAGCAUUCCGCCUGGGGAGUACGACCGCAAGGUUGAAACUCAAAGGAAUUGACGGGGGCCCGCACAAGCGGUGGAGCAUGUGGUUUAAUUCGAAGCAACGCGAAGAACCUUACCAGGUCUUGACAUCUUUUGAUCACCUGAGAGAUCAGGUUUCCCCUUCGGGGGCAAAAUGACAGGUGGUGCAUGGUUGUCGUCAGCUCGUGUCGUGAGAUGUUGGGUUAAGUCCCGCAACGAGCGCAACCCUUAUGACUAGUUGCCAGCAUUUAGUUGGGCACUCUAGUAAGACUGCCGGUGACAAACCGGAGGAAGGUGGGGAUGACGUCAAAUCAUCAUGCCCCUUAUGACCUGGGCUACACACGUGCUACAAUGGAUGGUACAACGAGUUGCGAGACCGCGAGGUCAAGCUAAUCUCUUAAAGCCAUUCUCAGUUCGGACUGUAGGCUGCAACUCGCCUACACGAAGUCGGAAUCGCUAGUAAUCGCGGAUCAGCACGCCG
rnacentral:rRNA from 1 species